AAGUCGUAACAAGGUUUCCGUAGGUGAACCUGCGGAAGGAUCAUUAACAUUUUGAUUUGAUAUCUUUAAUAUAAUUUAGGUAAUGGUUAUUGGUUUUUUCUUUUCUACUAUGAGAAGAAAAUCAAAAUCCAUUCCUAAAUUUCCACCCCAACAAAUGUGCAUGAGUGUGAUAUGAUGAUGUAUGAUGAUGUAUGAUGAUUAUGAUGAUAAUGAUGAGUUAGGAUAUAUCUUAUCUUAUCUUAUCUUAUCUAAUCUAAUCUUAUCUAAUCAUUUCACUCAUAUCUCUUUUUUUCUUUUUCAAAACCCCUUUUAUUACUACAUUUUUUGACAUGAUUUCAAUCAUUAUACAUAGUAAGUAAAGACACACUUCCAAGUGUUCUUUAUUUAUUUAUCAAUCAUAAAUACAACUCUUAGCAACGGAUAUCUAGGCUCUC
rnacentral:misc_RNA from 1 species